rnacentral:rRNA from 1 species
GACGUAGGUGGCGAACGUUAUCCGGAUUUAUUGGGCGUAAAGAGCUCGUAGGCGGUUUGUCGCGUCUGCUGUGAAAUCCCGAGGCUCAACCUCGGGUCUGCAGUGGGUACGGGCAGACUGGAGUGCGGUAGGGGAGAAUGGAAUUCCUGGUGUAGCGGUGAAAUGCGCAGAUAUCAGGAGGAACACCGAUGGCGAAGGCAGUUCUCUGGGCCGUAACUGACGCUGAGGAGCGAAAGCGUGGGGAGCGAACAGG